rnacentral:rRNA from 1 species
AACGUAGGUGGCGAGCGUUAUCCGGAUUCAUUGGGCGUAAGGAGCUUGUAGGCGGCGUCAUAAGUUGGACGUGAAAACUCCGGGCUUAACUUGGAGAGGCCGUUCAAUACUGUGGUGCUAGAGGGUGUCAGAGGGAAGUAGAAUUCCUGGUGUAGCAGUGAAAUGCGUAGAUAUCAGGAGGAAUACCCGUGGCGAAGGCGGCUUCCUGGGGGCACCACUGACGCUGAGAAGCGAAAGCUAGGGGAGCAAACGGG